rnacentral:rRNA from 1 species
ACAAGCGGAGGAGCAUGUGGUUUAAUUCGAUGAUACGCGAGGAACCUUACCUGGGCUCGAACGUAAGAUGACUGUAGGUGAAAGCUUACAUCUCUUCGGAGCAUUUUACGAGGUGCUGCAUGGUUGUCGUCAGCUCGUGCCGUGAGGUGUCGGGUUAAGUCCCAUAACGAGCGCAACCCCUACCUUUAGUUGCCAUCAGGUAAUGCUGGGGACUCUAAAGGAACUGCCUACGCAAGUAGUGAGGAAGCGGGGAUGACGUCAAAUCAGCACGGCCCUUACGUCCAGGGCUACACACGUGCUACAAUGGCCGAUACAGAGGGCAGCUACCUGGUGACAGGAUGCAAAUCUCCAAAGUCGGUCUCAGUUCGGAUCGGAGUCUGCAACCCGACUCCGUGAAGUUGGAUUCGCUAGUAAUCGCGCAUCAGCCAUGGCGCGGUGAAUACGUUCCCGGGCCUU